rnacentral:rRNA from 1 species
UGGGGAAUUUUGGACAAUGGACGCAAGUCUGAUCCAGCCAUGCCGCGUGCGGGAAGAAGGCCUUCGGGUUGUAAAGCUCUUUCAGCCGGGAAGAAAACGCAUGGGUUAAUACCCUGUGUGGAUGACGGUACCGGAAUAAGAAGCGCCGGCUAACUACGUGCCAGCAGCCGCGGUAAUACGUAGGGUGCGAGCGUUAAUCGGAAUUACUGGGCGUAAAGCGUGCGCAGGCGGUUUUGUAAGACAGGCGUGAAAUCCCCGGGCUCAACCUGGGAACUGCGUUUGUGACUGCAAGGCUAGAGUAUGGCAGAGGGGGGUGGAAUUCCACGUGUAGCAGUGAAAUGCGUAGAGAUGUGGAGGAACACCGAUGGCGAAGGCGGCCCCCUGGGCCAAUACUGGCGCUCAUGCACGAAAGCGUGGGGAGCAAACA